GGGAAAAUAUCCUUGUUCUCUUUUAAAAUUUUUUGUUUAAUCCUAGGGGUGGGAGUAGACCCAAUCAAGAGACUGCUCCGUGUUCAGCUGAUGCUUGGCUUGGAAACACCCAACUGGAAAGCUGCCUGGCAGAGGGCUGUGCUACUGGCUGCCUAGGUCUUGCUGGGACCUCCCCCAAUGUAGGCUAAGAUACAGAUCCUGAGCUCUGCGACCUGGGACUCCAGUUUGCACUUGAACUAUGAGAUCACUGACGGGAUUAGCUAUUCUCGUAACUUUAGGUAUUAUGAGCGAUGCUGAGACCACACAGCCAAAUGCAAUGGAGAGUACAGAAGAGGAAUCUGUACGCCUGCCCUGCAACCACUCCACAAUCAGUGGGAGUGAGUACAUACACUGGUAUCGACAGAUUCCCCACCACGGGCCAGAGUAUUUGAUUCAUGGUCUAAAAGACAAUGUGACUAAUGGAAUGGCCUCUCUAACCAUCGCAAAAGACAGAAAGUCCAGUACCUUGGUCCUGCCCCGGGUUACCCUGAGAGAUGCCGCCGUGUACUACUGCAUCACCAGAGACACACACUGGGACAGAUGGGGCUGCACCUGUUACACUAUCUGCCUGGCGGGGAGGGGAGGGGCAGGGGGGGAAGGGAAGCAGCAGCUGCCAUCUCAAGAGGUCACUGCACAAGAAUGAGCCGGAGCCCAGGAGAAGAGACGUAAAGAAGAAAAGGGGGAAGAGGUGAAGAGAAGAUUGUAAGGAAGUCAAGGAAGAAAGAAUAAAAGGAUCAAAGAGGAUGCAGAAGAAGGGCUUAGUUAUUAAAGGGAAGGACUAAAACGCUUUCAAGGAAACGAAGAGACACAAUUGUAAACCUGCCAUAAAGGGAAAGGGAAAUGAGAAUUUGCCAUAGCUCUUUGUUUUUUUUUUAAAUUUAAUAUAUU